UAAUGACGAUAUUCAAACUAAAUAAGCUGGAAUUACCGUCAGAUGGCUAAGUGGUGAUUUUUGGUUUUCUGAAC